rnacentral:lncRNA from 1 species
GGGGCAUUCUGGGUCAUCAGGAUAGUUGGGUAACACCACUGGCACUUGGUGGGCAGGCAGCAGGUUUACUAGAAAUCAUACAAUGUGUGACAGUAUAUUGUCCUAUGUUCUGAUAGAUUUAAAAGGUUUUAGAUGUUUACGCUGAUUAAAAAACCUCUCAUGAUAUUUUUAUUACAUAAGAAUAUAAUGUUUGUGUUUGACUUUAAUGUAUGCCAAAAUUUCCAGGUACACUGCUAACACUGAAUAGAAAGAUCACUUUAGUUUGCUUACUUUGGAAUUUUGUCAAGAAUUGUUCACCAUUUCUGAAAAAUCACAUCACUGACCACCUAACCGCUUGCAGUGUUUGAGUCACUAACUUUUUCAUCGUGGUAAUUCCACACACAUGUAAGCAUCUAAUGGUUGUAUUCCAUCUUCCAGUAAGUACAGUCUUUUCUAAGCAAUGAAUAUGAAAAGGUAGAAAUGGCCUUCUUUAAUUUCUCCUUACGUUGCAGGUAGAACAUUAUAUUGACUUUUUAAGCAUGCAUGAAUAGACAUAUAUUGCCUAUGCAAUACUCAUUUCAGGGUAGAAAAAAGAUAUUAAAAAUAUUUCUUAUGAGUGAGAAGCAGUGACCUACAGGGUGUGCCAGCACUUCCCCAGUGAUGAUGAUAAUGUCAUCAGUGACCUUGAUGAUGAUUCCCAGAAGAGAAGGUGGUGCAGGUGAAACUGUCUCCCACCUUCUUAAAAAUCAGCUUUUGUCAGGGCACAGUGGCUCACGCUUGUAAUCCCAGCACUCUCGGAGGCCAAUCAUAGGACCCGCAGGCGGAUCAUAGGAGCCCAGGAGUUCAGGACCAGCUCAGGCAACAUGGUGAUACCCCAUCUCUACAAAUAAUAAUUUUCUAAAAAAUUAGGCCAGGCGUGGUGGCUCACAUCUGUAAUCCCAGAACUUUGGGAGGCUGAGGUGGGUGGAUCAUUUGAGGCCAAGAGUUCAGGACCAGUCAGGCCAACAUGGUGAAACCCUGUCUCUACAAAAAUACAAAAAUUAGCUGGGCAUGGUGGUGGGCACCUGUAGUCCCAACUUCUUGGGAGGCUAAGGCAGGAGAAUUGCUUGAGCCUGAGAGGUGGCAGUUGCAGUGAGUCAAGAUCGCACCACUGCACUCCAGCCUGGGCGACAGAGCAAGACUCCAUCUUAAGGAAAAAAAAAAAAA